rnacentral:rRNA from 1 species
CAGUCGCCACGGUAAUACGAAGGUCCCGAGCGUUGUUCGGAAUCACUGGGCGUAAAGGGAGCGUAGGCGGCGUGGUAAGUCAGAUGUGAAAUCCCGGGGCUCAACCUCGGAACUGCAUCCGAUACUGCCGUGCUAGAGGAUUGGAGAGGUAGCUGGAAUUCUUGGUGUAGCAGUGAAAUGCGUGGAGAUCAAGAGGAACACUCGUGGCGAAAGCGAGCUACUGGACAAUAUCUGACGCUGAGGCUCGAAGGCCAGGGUAGCGAAAGGGAUUAGAUACCCCAGUAGUCCCUGUCUCUUAUAC